rnacentral:lncRNA from 1 species
CAGAAUACCAGGAGUUUGUGGCAUUGCCUAUGUGACAGAUGGCCAUACACCACUCUGCAGGGGGCUGUGGGCGGUAGUAGUUGUGAUAGGAGCCAGGGGCCCAGGAGGCAUGGCCAAAUUCCUACCAUCCCAUGAAGGCAGAAGUCACUGACCACCAGAUCUCUCGGAACCAGGCUGUCUGUGCACAGUUCAGUGCCCCACAUCACACGAGUUGAAGUUGCCCACAUGAUCAUUCUGUUUAAGGAUUCUUCCCAACUAUGAAACUACAGAUACCUGAAUUUAUCUUAGCAUCCCUACAAUCAUCAACUUUUCAUUAUAAGGCUCUGCUAUGAAGAGAAAAGGAUUUGCUAUUCUAUCAGUCA